CCUACGGGAGGCUGCAGUAGGGAAUUUUCGGCAAUGGUGGGAACCCUGACCGAGCAACGCCGCGUGAACGAAGAAGUUAUUCGUAAUGUAAAGUUCUUUUAACAGGGAAGAAAGAGAAAUUUGACGGUACCUGAAGAAUAAGCCCCGGCUAACUACGUGCGAGCAGCCGCGGUAAUACGUAGGGGUCGAGCGUUAUCUGGAAUUAUUGGCCGUAAAGGGUGCGUAGAUGGCAUAGUAAGUCUUUUGUAAAAAUGCGGGGCUCAACCCCGUAGGGCAAAAGAUACUGGCAGUCUAGAGUAUGACAGAGGCAAGUGGAACGAGAUGUGUAGCGGUAAAAUGCGUAAAUAUAUGUAAGAACACCAGUGGCGAAGGCGGCUUGCUGGGUCGACACUGACAUUGAGGCACGAAAGCGUGGGGAGCGAACAGGAUUAGAUACCCGGGUAGUC
rnacentral:rRNA from 1 species